UGUGGCGGUAAUGAGGCGUAGUGAACCGUUAGUUAACCUCUGCUCAAACCCGCCUCUUGACUGAAAUAACUAUUCUAUUUAUUUGUAUUGCAGUUAUUCACGCUAGUAGCACAGUGACGGCGGUAAUGAGCAGGCAGAGUGGACAGUUACGCCGGUGUUCACUUAUAUCUCGACCUUUUCUAUAAUUUAAUUUUCUAUAAUAAUCUAUAAGUCCUUUUCUAUCAUUUACACGUAUCCCAGUUAUUCACGGUGGCAGCAGAGUGGUUAGGGUUAAGGGAAGGAGCGUGAACAGUUAACCAGACUGACAGUCAGGCCGCAUUACAAAAGUCCCAAGGUCGUGAAGAUACCAAUAAUAGGUCUGAUUCUGGCCUAGGUUGGACGUUAUGUAAGAGUGAACGUGCUGUGUAACGGCGGGCUGUAUGGUGACACCCGUGCCAUCCCGACUACGGCAGGUGUGUGUGUGUGUGUGUGUGUGUGUGUGUGUGUGUGUGUGUGUGUGUGUGGUAGCAGUAGCAGUCACAUGCCGCCCGCUGCGUGACUUUCGCUCUCUGAUAACGUUAUCGAUCAGUGUUCAUGUUGCAUAUUAAUCUGAUUGCUUUGCCCGGGAGCAUUCACUUUCCCAUAGCACUCAGGCGCAGUCACACGCACGCCGCGCCAAGCAAGCGGAGCAGUUAGCACGUUCACGCCCCUUUGAUUUCCAGACGCCCCUGCGUGCCCGGCGCUAAGAGGACUGUAGUACUCUGGGCAGCACCACAGCCACCACACGUACAGUGUCUUGGUCACCACCCACUGCCGCCUGCCCGAGCCUGAAGGAGCGAGGCCACGCACUGAAGGAGCUGAAGCAGUGACGGCAACAUUCCUGCCUGAGCCUCACCAACACAACCAUCCACAGUCCUGCUCGCGAAGUGAAGGGCCACCAGCCACUCCUACACCAGUCUGAAGGAGCAGCGCGCCCGCACUCCUGCAGGAACUUGAAGCACCAGCAGCAGCAGCAAUAGUAGUCACACUCCUACUCGAGUGUGAAGGAGCAGCCUUUGUGUGGAGCAGCAGCAGCAGCCACACUCCUGCCUGAGGACUCUUGCACCACCCCUCCAGCCCGGCCUGAGGCAGCAACCAGGCCUCUGCCACCAGUACCAGUACCGAGAAGAAGCACAGGCCGCACUCAGUCUGCUGUCGGUCUGUACGCCACAGGCGACCUUGGGCCUUCCACGCGAGCCAGACACACUAGCCAUGGAGCGCCACGAACCGCCCCGCACCCCCAGCCUGGCCAUCAGCGUCUCCCCCGCCAGAUGGAGCCUCUCCUCCGCCUGGGCGUCGUCCAGCAGAAGGAAGGCGUGCCACGCGGCCGCCACGCAAGGCACCACGCCGCCCACACCGCCCUCCACGCCCGUGCGGGGAGGAAACUGGUGGUUGCAACAGCUGUCGAAGACCCCCGGGAGGAGUGCGAGUGUCUUUGUGUCAUCUCUUAAGUGUUGCAACAGGCCGCCCUGUGUUGCGGCGCCUUACGCUAACACGCUCGGGAUGCGAGUGUCCCGGGAAGUAGCCCGCGGUGCUACGGUGCCACGGUGCCAGGAAGGAGAGUCCCGCCCGUGAAUUGCCGCGUGGUGCUGGGUGAACCAAUCGGUGCUCUGCCCUCGUGCAGCGGCGACUUAAGGCUCGUGAUGGGGAGGUCCGGCUGAGGAGUCUUGUGUAUGCUACACGUGUGGCCGAGGCGGUGACGGCCGCUGUUGUACGGAGAUGGGCAGCAGCCGUGUAUGCGAGUGUGAGUGUGCGGUGAGCCAAGGGAUCACGAGGGUAAGCAGACGUGGGGACUCGUCAUGAGAUUAUUAUUGUAGUUUAGAAACCUACGAAUGAUGUAUUUACUUGUCAAUGCAACUCUGUACUGUUUUAAACAUCCGUAGUGGUGUGUUUGUUUUAUCACGACCCAGCUCUCGUUAGUAAUGGUUCAGAGUGUGUGUGUGUGUGUGUGUGUGUGUGUGUGUGUGUUUAGAUUCCUCACUGUUGUUGCUCAAGUUAAGGUGAGAAGUUAGGAAGAUUAGGAAGGGCACAACAUUGGCUUUCACCCCAAACAUAUUCCACUGAUCAUAUUUAUUUUCGCUAUUGAUGGUGAGAGGGAAAGGGAUGACAGAUAGAUAGACAGUUAAGGGCGAGAUUCCUGUAAUGUACAAGAAGUCGAAAUAAGUCAAGUGAAGGAGAGAAGUUGACAAGGUGGAUGUUGAAGCACGUUCACGACUUGUAUGUAUGUAUGAAUGUAUGUGUGUAUGAGACAGAGGGAGAGGGAGAGAUUACUAGGAUGGAACAAGUUAAGAUCCAUCCCUUAGUAAUUAGUCUCUUUCUCUCCCACUCCUGUAUGUAUGAGUGAAUGAGAGAGGGGGAGAGGGAGAGAUUAUUGUGGUGGAACAAGUUAAAAUUCAUCCCUUAAUCUGUCUCUCCAAAUCAUGAUGUUCCUACAAGAGGUGGUGUUUGACAGAUGAAGAGGACGUUUUGGGAUGGUUCUCCUGACACACGAGGCAGGAGCGAGGUGCUUCCUUCCCUCGUGGCUGUGUGAUGUGUAUAUUAUUAUUCACGAACCAUUUCUCUUUUAUACUUUUUAACGUAGCGUGUUUUGUGUACCAUUGUUGAUUAAAGAGAACAGUGAUAAUGA